GUUUGUAUUGUUCAUACGUGAGUUAAAAUUGCCAUCAUACAGAGAAAAUGGACACAACCUGUGUUCAAUGAUGACCCACCCAAUGUUGAAAUGUCCCACACUUUU